CCUACGGGAGGCAGCAGUGAGGAAUAUUGGUCAAUGGGCGGGAGCCUGAACCAGCCAAGUCGCGUGAGGGAAGACGGUCCUAUGGAUUGUAAACCUCUUUAGGCGGGGGGCAAUGCCGGGCACGCGUGCCCGGAGGGAGAGUACCCGCAGAAUAAGCAUCGGCUAACUCCGUGCCAGCAGCCGCGGUAAUACGGGGGAUGCGAGCGUUAUCCGGAUUUAUUGGGUUUAAAGGGUGCGUAGGGGUAUUUUUAAUUCAGCGGUAAAAUGUCCGGGCUCAACCCGGGCCGGCCGUUGAAACUGGUGAUCUUGAGUGGGCGAGAAGUAUGCGGAAUGCGUGGUGUAGCGGUGAAAUGCAUAGAGAUCACGCAGAACUCCGAUUGCGAAGGCAGCAUACCGGGGCACGACUGACGCUGAGGCACGAAAGCGUGGGGAGCGAACAGGAUUAGAUACCCUUGUAGUC
rnacentral:rRNA from 1 species